rnacentral:rRNA from 1 species
CAAUGCGAAGCGAAGCAGCGAUGUGAAGCAAAUCGCACCAAAGCCGGUCCCAGUUCGGAUAAGAGGCUGAAACUCGCCUCUUUGAAGUCGGAAUCGCUAGUAAUCGCAGAUCAGCAUGUUGCGGUGAAUACGUUUCCUGGUCUUGUACACACCGCCCGUCAAACCAUGAGAGUCGCCAACACCCGAAGUCCGCUUUGCGGCCUAAGGUGGGGGAGAUGAUUGGGGUUAAGUCGUAACAAGGUAAC